UGAGGAAUAUUGCACAAUGGGCGCAAGCCUGAUGCAGCAACGCCGCGUGAGGGACGAAGGCCUUCGGGUCGUAAACCUCUCUUCUGAGGGACGAGUAAGGGCGGUACCUCAGGAAUAAGUCUCGGCUAACUACGUGCCAGCAGCCGCGGUAAAACGUAGGAGGCGAGCGUUAUCCGGAUUUACUGGGCGUAAAGCGUACGCAGGUGGCUUCGUGAGUCGGACAUGAAAGCUCCUGGCUUAACUGGGAGAGGUUGUUCGAUACUGCGGGGUUUGAGGUUGGGAGAGGGACGUGGAAUUCCCGGUGUAGUGGUGGAAUGCGUAGAUAUCGGGAGGAACACCAGUGGCGCAAGCGGCGUCCUGGCCCACACCUGACGCUGAGGUACGAAAGCGUGGGUAGCAAACAG
rnacentral:rRNA from 1 species